GAUGAAGAACGUAGCGAAAUGCGAUACUUGGUGUGAAUUGCAGAAUCCCGUGAACCAUCGAGUCUUUGAACGCAAGUUGCGCCCGAAGCCAUUAGGCCGAGGGCACGCCUGCCUGGGCGUCACACGUCGUUGCCCCCCCAUCUACUCCUUCGGGAUUGCGGGGGGCGGAUGAUGGCCUCCCGUGCGCCUCGCCGCGCGGUUGGCAUAAAUGCCAAGUCCUCGGCGACGCACGCCACGACAAUCGGUGGUUGCGAAACCUCGGUUGCCCGUCGUGUGCGGUCGUCGCGCAUCGAUGGCUCGAAAAAAUUGCCGGGUUCCGGCUCGGCUUUCAACGCGACCCCAGGUCAGGCGGGGUUACCCGCUGAAUUUAAGCAUAUCAAUAAGCGGAGGA
rnacentral:misc_RNA from 1 species